rnacentral:lncRNA from 1 species
AGGAAAAAUUGCUAAUUCAAUCAGUUUUGUUUACAGGCAUGGAUGAAUUUGCAUAGCUUAUCUAACAAAAAUAUGAACCAUGAAACUCAAAGAAAAGUCUCGAGUUCAUGGAUUACCGAACGUUUCCUGGGACAGUUCCAGCAGAGAAGACAACUCCAGAUCUGCUGAGGACAGCCUCCUUCGAACACGCUCAGAAAACCGACCGGACCUGAAACACGGUGAUCUUUGUUAGUGUCAGCUACAAAGGGAGAAAAAAGGGGAAAAAAAGUUGUCGAAAUCCAAAAAGCAGCAGGCAUGUUGGGAAUCGAAAAUGAUGUGAAUGGGAUUGAUCACGGAUUUGUGCUUGUUCGAAUGAGAUCUCUGAAGUAAUGGAAUGCAAAGAAUCAAGUGAAAAACAAAAACUUCCAAAUUGUAAGUUUGAAAAAUGAGCAUAAAUUCAAAAAACAAAAUCAGCAUGCUAAGCAAUCCAAGUUCCAAGUGUUUCGCAAACAAAAGAAAUCCAUCUUUUGAACAAACACAUGCAAAAGGAGUAAUCUAGUAAUAUUCUUUCAUUAGAGCUUUCCACUACUUGCAUUUUCAAAGCAUUCCCGUAAGGCUUGACCCAAACCUGAAAGCAGCUUGCUUGUGAAGUCGAGUAUCUCUGUUAUAGGGCCCAGGCUAGCUCAAAUUUCCAGUUGCGAUAUUGAAACAAAUAUUAUAAUUAAAGGAAAGAACAUUCAACCAGAUAAAUCUUAAAAUUUAAGACUACCAUUAAUUAAGAAUAAUUUUUAUUGUAUUUUGAACUAACAAUACACUAAGCAAGCAAGUAAAAUCCUCACGGUUCAAAAAUCAGCCUAGACAAAUAAAAGGGAAUUGGGGAGGGGGAUCUUUCUCCGAAAUACAGAGCCAGUCAAUCCCUAAAUGAGACCAACAAAAUCAAACCCUAAAUGAAACCAGAAUCAAGAGAAAGAAUGGCACCUUUGACAUGCUUUGAUGAUAUCUAAGCAAUAAACAAACACACAAUCUUUUCUGUAUCCCUCCAUUCCUUUUUAGGAUUAAAUCAUCAACCCUUAUAAAUCCACAGUGUAGAUGAGUCUGUAUCCGCAGUGCGUGCUACAGUAAAAACGUUUUUUAUAAUGUAAUUGUAAUUUUAUAGUGCCGAGGAUAGUGGCACGACUGUGUUUUCACGGUUCUGCUGCUAGUAAUGGUGCGAAGAUAUCUGGUGUUGGGAUUUUGGGAAGAGAUCGGAUGGUUUGUGGGCUGUCCGUCGGUUUGAAAGGAGGAAGAAGGGGGCAGGGCAUCUAUGGGUUAUCAGCUGGAGUUUGGCGUUGGCUUGAUGGUGUGGAGGAAGAGUGUGGCACGGCUGGUGGGUCUGGCGCAACUGGUUCUCUUCUGGUGGAGGGAGAAGUGGGAAGGGGUUG